CUUCUACUCCCUCCAUCCGGAAAUACUUGUCCUAUAAAUGAAUGUAUCUAGACUUAUUUUAGUUAUAGAUACAUCUAUUUUAUUCAUUUUUAGGACAAGUAAUUUUGGACGGAGGGAGUACUCC
rnacentral:pre_miRNA from 1 species